rnacentral:rRNA from 1 species
CAGUAGCCACGGUAAUACGUAGGUCCCGAGCGUUGUCCGGAUUUAUUGGGCGUAAAGCGAGCGCAGGCGGUUAGAUAAGUCUGAAGUUAAAGGCUGUGGCUUAACCAUAGUACGCUUUGGAAACUGUUUAACUUGAGUGCAAGAGGGGAGAGUGGAAUUCCAUGUGUAGCGGUGAAAUGCGUAGAUAUAUGGAGGAACACCGGUGGCGAAAGCGGCUCUCUGGCUUGUAACUGACGCUGAGGCUCGAAAGCGUGGGGAGCAAACAGGAUUAGAUACCCCAGUAGUCCCUGUCUCUUAUACA